rnacentral:rRNA from 1 species
UACGUAGGGUGCAAGCGUUGUCCGGAAUUAUUGGGCGUAAAGAGCUCGUAGGCGGUCUGUCGCGUCUGCUGUGAAAACUCAGGGCUUAACCCUGAGCUUGCAGUGGGUACGGGCAGACUAGAGUGCGGUAGGGGAGACUGGAAUUCCUGGUGUAGCGGUGAAAUGCGCAGAUAUCAGGAGGAACACCGGUGGGCGAAGGCGGGUCUCUGGGCCGUAAC